GGAUGUUAGAGCAAUCUGACAGUGACAUCUGUCACUCCAUCUAUGCCAGAUUUGAUAUGAGGGAUUUGGCUGGUAAAGUGUCCAGUGAUUCCCUCGCUGUUCUAUAUUUGUCAUCCUGUCAUAAGGAUUGGCUGCAUCUUCAGGACAUCACCCAAGUCAAAGAGGGGAAUACUCGCAGGUAGAAGAGGACCACAGUGCAGUCCAAGCCACAGAAUUAGUUGAUCACUCCAGCUAGGAUCUGAAAACAGAUCCACAAGGUUCAUAUGGAAAUGGCAAUUUCAGUUUUACUUUUUUGUUUGUAAAACAUUACACAUAUUUUUAAUGUAGUAAAAUUGUUCAGUUGAACAUAAAUAAAUUU
rnacentral:snRNA from 1 species